rnacentral:rRNA from 1 species
AGAGUUUGAUCCUGGCUCAGGAUGAACGCUGGCGGCGUGCUUAACACAUGCAAGUCGAGCGAUGAAGUUUCCUUCGGGAAACGGAUUAGCGGCGGACGGGUGAGUAACACGUGGGUAACCUGCCUCAUAGAGUGGAAUAGCCUUCCGAAAGGAAUAUUAAUACCGCAUAAUGUUGAAAGAUGGCAUCAUCAUUCAACCAAAGGAGCAAUCCGCUAUGAGAUGGACCCGCGGCGCAUUAGCUAGUUGGUGGGGUAACGGCCUACCAAGGCGACGAUGCGUAGCCGACCUGAGAGGGUGAUCGGCCACAUUGGGACUGAGACACGGCCCAGACUCCUACGGGAGGCAGCAGUGGGGAAUAUUGCACAAUGGGGGAAACCCUGAUGCAGCAACGCCGCGUGAGUGAUGAAGGUUUUCGGAUCGUAAAGCUCUGUCUUUGGGGAAGAUAAUGACGGUACCCAAGGAGGAAGCCACGGCUAACUACGUGCCAGCAGCCGCGGU